GUCAGAAUCAACGCUGGCGGCGUGCCUAACACAUGCAAGUCGUGCGCGAAAGGGGCUUCGGUCCUGAGUAGAGCGGCAAACGGGUGAGUAACACGUGGGUGACCUGCCUUCGAGUGGGGGAUAACGUCCCGAAAGGGACGCUAAUACCGCAUGACAUCCUGCCUUUGGAGAGGCGGAGAUCAAAGCCGGGGAUCGCAAGACCUGGCGCUUGAAGAGGGGCCCGCGCCUGAUUAGCUAGUUGGUGGGGUAACGGCCUACCAAGGCGACGACCAGUAGCCGGCCUGAGAGGGCGGACGGCCACACUGGGACUGAGACACGGCCCAGACUCCUACGGGAGGCAGCAGUGGGGAAUUGUUCGCAACGGGCGCAAGCCUGACGACGCAACGCCGCGUGGAGGACGAAGAUCUUCGGGUCGUAAACUCCUGUCGAGCGGGAAGAACACCUGCCGGGCUAAUACCCUGCAGACUGACGG
rnacentral:rRNA from 1 species